GAUCAAUACAAAAAGAAACCAACUUCGUAAUAAAUUCCAAUCAAUACAUAUAACAGAAAAAGACCCACUAGGGAAAAUUUUUCACAAAAUAUUGGUAAAAUCAAAUCAAUAUGAAACCAAAAUUUUGAUUAUAUUCUAUUCAAUUUCGAUUACUGUAAAAAAUUAGGACCAAAUUGAAAUUGCCCACACUACCACCAACCUGCCCAAUAAUAAAACUCAAAAUUCAUGUGCCUACAAUUCCUCUGUAUGAA
rnacentral:misc_RNA from 1 species